rnacentral:tRNA from 1 species
AAAAUCCGUCGACCUCUAUCCCCA